rnacentral:rRNA from 1 species
UACGUAGGCAGCAAACGUUGUCCGGAUUUAUUGGGCGUAAAGAGCGUGUAGGCGGCUUUGCAAGUCCGUUGUGAAAACUCGAGGCUCAACCUCGAGACGCCGGUGGAAACUGCAAAGCUAGAGUCCGGAAGAGGAGAGUGGAAUUCCUGGUGUAGCGGUGAAAUGCGCAGAUAUCAGGAGGAACACCGGUGGCGAAGGCGGGUCUCUGGGCCGAUACUGACGCUGAGGAGCGAAAGCGUGGGGAGCGAACAGG